AUAAUACUCCCUCCGUCCCAUAUUAAGAGACUCUCUAUUACAUGUAGCUAGACGCUUUUUAGGCAUAGAUACAUCCAUGUUUGGACAAACUUGAGUCACUUAAUAUGGAACGGGGGGAGUAUAAC
rnacentral:pre_miRNA from 1 species